GACGAACGCUGGCGGCGUGCUUAACACAUGCCAGUCGAACGGAAAGGCCCUGCUUUUGUGGGGUGCUCGAUUGGCGAACGGGUGAGUAACACGUGAGUAACCUGCCCUUGACUUUGGGAUAACUUCAGGAAACUGGGGCUAAUACCGGAUAGGAGCUCCUGCUGCAUGUUGGGGGUUGGAAAGUGUCGGCGGUUGGGGAUGGACUGGCGGCUUAUCAGCUUGUUGGUGAGGUAGUGGCUUACCAAGGCUUUGACGGGUAGCCGGCCUGGGAGGGGGACCGGCCACAUUGGGACUACGAUACGGCCCAGACUGCUACGGGAGGCAGCAGUGGGGAAUAUUGCACAAUGGGCGGAAGCCUGAUGCAGCAACGCCGCGUGCGGGAUGACGGCCUUCGGGUUGUAAACCGCUUUCGCCGGUGACGAAGCGUGCGUGACGGUAAUGGGUAAAGAAGCACCGGCUAACUACGUG
rnacentral:rRNA from 1 species